AGUGAACGCUGGCGGUAGGCCUAACACAUGCAAGUCGAACGGCAGCACAGUAAGAGCUUGCUCUUACGGGUGGCGAGUGGCGGACGGGUGAGGAAUACAUCGGAAUCUACUUUUUCGUGGGGGAUAACGUAGGGAAACUUACGCUAAUACCGCAUACGACCUACGGGUGAAAGCAGGGGAUCUUCGGUCCUUGCGCGAUUGAAUGAGCCGAUGUCGGAUUAGCUAGUUGGCGGGGUAAAGGCCCACCAAGGCGACGAUCCGUAGCUGGUCUGAGAGGAUGAUCAGCCACACUGGAACUGAGACACGGUCCAGACUCCUACGGGAGGCAGCAGUGGGGAAUAUUGGACAAUGGGCGCAAGCCUGAUCCAGCCAUACCGCGUGGGUGAAGAAGGCCUUCGGGUUGUAAAGCCCUUUUGUUGGGAAAGAAAAGCGGCAGGUUAAUACCCCGCUGUUCUGACGGUACCCAAAGAAUAAGCACCGGCUAACUUCGUG
rnacentral:rRNA from 1 species